AUUGAACGCUGGCGGCAGGCCUAACACAUGCAAGUCGAGCGGUAACAGAGAGAAGCUUGCUUCUUUGCUGACGAGCGGCGGACGGGUGAGUAACGCGUAGGAAUCUACCUAUUAGUGGGGGAUAAGCCAGAGAAAUUUGGUCUAAUACCGCAUACGCCCUACGGGGGAAAGGAGGGGCUCUUCGGACCUUUCGCUAUUAGAUGAGCCUGCGUAAGAUUAGCUAGUUGGUGAGGUAAGAGCUCACCAAGGCGACGAUCUUUAGCUGGUCUGAGAGGAUGAUCAGCCACACUGGGACUGAGACACGGCCCAGACUCCUACGGGAGGCAGCAGUGGGGAAUAUUGGACAAUGGGGGCAACCCUGAUCCAGCCAUGCCGCGUGUGUGAAGAAGGCCUUCGGGUUGUAAAGCACUUUCAGAUGUGAGGAAAGGUGAGUAGUUAAUACCUGCUUACUGUGACGUUAGCAUCAGAAGAAGGACCGGCUAACUCCG
rnacentral:rRNA from 1 species